rnacentral:rRNA from 1 species
UGAGGGAUAUUGCACAAUGGGGGCAACCCUGAUGCAGCAACGCCGCGUGGAGGAUGAAGGCUUUUGAGUUGUAAACUCCUUUUCUGAGGGAAGAGUAAGGACGGUACCUCAGGAAUAAGGCCCGGCUAACUACGUGCCAGCAGCCGCGGUAAUACGUAGGGGCCAAGCGUUAUCCGGAAUUACUGGGCGUAAAGCGCACGCAGGCGGCGCGCCAAGUCCGAUGUGAAAACUCCCGGCUUAACUGGGAGAGGUCGUUGGAUACUGGUGGGCUUGAGGCAGUGAGAGGGAUACAGAAUUCCUGGUGUAGUGGUGGAAUGCGUAGAUAUCAGGAGGAAUACCAGUGGCGAAAGCGGUAUCCUGGCACUGUACUGACGCUCAUGUGCGAAAGCGUGGGGAGCGAACGGGAUUAGAUACCCCCGUAGUCC